GACGUAGGGCGCGAGCGUUGUUCGGAUUUACUGGGCGUAAAGGGCGCGUAGGCGGCCACCGCAAGUCGACUGUGAAAUCUCCGGGCUUAACCCGGAAAGGUCAGCCGAUACUGCGGGGCUAGAGUGCAGAAGGGGCAACUGGAAUUCUCGGUGUAGCGGUGAAAUGCGUAGAUAUCGAGAGGAACACCUGCGGCGAAGGCGGGUUGCUGGGCUGACACUGACGCUGAGGCGCGAAAGCUAGGGGAGCGAACGGG
rnacentral:rRNA from 1 species